UGAACCGCUCCCCUCCUCAAGGAGACUUGAUUAAUGUUGGGUCCCCUAAAAGAGGUGUACAGAAGGGGGGGAAAAGCAUACCUUUUGACAAGGCCACAAGCACUGUCAUGAUCGUGUGCAGGAUUGGACAAAACAUGAUGGCAGACGGCAUUUCUUAAACAAAGAUCCAGUCAGGAGCGGACUUCCUUAAGCUUAAAAGUUGCAAGUGAAUGAAGUGUGUUCUAUUUUAUGUCUCCUACUAAAACCAUGGAUUUGACAAACCUAAAAGAGCACGUGGAGCAAGGAACUAUCAGUAAGCCGGAAGAGCCAGCUCGAAAAUCUUUAAGUGUUUGAGAAUUUCACCGCGCACACGAAUCUAAAGUUCUGCCACACGUUAGAAGGAGCCUUGUUCUCGAAGAUCAACGUGUUGAAAAGUCUUCAUUUUGCAGAAGCAAAUACAUUUAUAUUGUAUAUACACAUGUAAACCAUGUUCGAUUCCCAACCACUUAACGUUUGUGAUAUCUGCAUGGAAUUAUUAAAACUGAGCAUGGAUAGACGUAUACUCAUCUCUUCAGGCAUGAUGGUUUACAUUUCACAAAGCUGUUCAAUGACAAUAAAGACUAUAAGAUGU